rnacentral:lncRNA from 1 species
CGCCGUUUUUCUAAGUUAAUCGGUGAUAAAAGUACGCAAGAUAUCAAAAUGAUCUUUGGUAUCAAGUAUCGGGUUAAUAAAAGCUAUCUUGUAUUAAGGGCACCGUAGUGUACUAUUUACCUUAUAGGAGUUAUCUCCCCAAUUACAAAAAACACUGUUAUCGCUAUAACUCAUGAACUAUAAAUAUUAGCGGCAAAUGGUUUUUUUUU